CUGAAGAAUAUAAGGAGAAUUUCGACGUUUCCUUCGCUAGAAACGUCGAAAUUCUCCUUAUAUUUUUCAGGUAGUAAUUAU